rnacentral:lncRNA from 1 species
AUGGUUCACCGCAUUCGGAAUGCGGUGAACCAUUCACCGCCUUCACAACAGAAUUAUAAAGAGGGUGAACGAUUCACCGUCUUUAUGAGAAAUAUCUGACGUGGCACCCACAUGGCGAAAGGAUAAUUAGUUUUAUAAAUAAAAUUUUGGCAGGAUCAUUUUACCAAUUUCAAAUUUCUACUGGAUCAUUUUAUAAAAAAGCCCAAAUUUUACUGUUUAAAAAUAAUAAUAAUUUUUUACUGAAUUUUAUUUAAAAAAUUUGAAUUUGAAUUUAAGAUUCUCUCCCAGGUAAAUGCUGUUACUCGUUUUCACGCAAACCCAAGCCAUAUCCCGGUGCCAACGUGUGGACCCCACAAAGUGGGCCCCAUUAUCCAUAACCUUGGGAAACGUGCCCCCAAAAUCUAAUUCAAUUUAUUGCUCUCUUUCCAAUAAUUUUGGGUAAAUUGCAGCGCUAGCCCCUGAACUUCAAGUUAAUUUCAUUUCGGUACUCUUGGUUUGGGAUAAAUUACACUUUAUAAUUUUAUCGGUAAAUUUUAAUUUAUUAUAAUUUCUAGCUCAAACUUUUUAAAUUAUUAUAAUUAAGUCCUAUAAUUUAAUUUAGUUAGCUAAAUAUCAAUGCACUAUUAAUAUAGAAGUGUAGUAUAUUAAUUAUUAUCGUAUCAUUAAUCACAAUAUUUUUAUAUCACUGUUUAUAUAAAUAAUUUACCAAUAUUUAGUCAACUAAAUUGGAUCGUGGGACUUAAUUGCAGUGAUUCGAGUUUAAAAUUAUAACAAAUUAAAAUUUAAAAACCAAAAAUAUAAUUUACCAAACUUUUACUAAAAUUUUAAUUUAGUUUUAAAUAUUUAACAAUAUUUUAUUUUAAUACUUUAAAGCAAAUAUUAUU